CCGGAAGAGGCGGGCUCAGCGCUGUGACUGACGGACAGCCUCCGAACCCGGGCGGGACAGGAUCCCGACGUCGGGAUCCGCAGAGGUGCGCUUAGGUUUGGCGAGGGCUGAGGUCACUGAGAGACCUCUUGGAGGAACGAGUACGCACGCUGGCGAAGCUGAGGAGAAUUUACCGUGGUGGUACGAGGGAUAUUUUGAAUGAACGGGAGCUGCCUGUCCCAGCAGCCAGCUGUGAGCCAAGAAGCCCCAGAGCCAUGAGAGGGAAAUACAGUUAUCAUUGCCAUUUCCGGUCACCUAUUCUUUACAGAUGCACUCUGCCUCUUGACCUACAUAAAAAAGAAAAUAGUCACUCUUCCCUUUUGUCUCUCAUCCAGAAAGCUAGGCUUUCUGCUUUUCCCUAACCCAUCAGGCCACUAUUGAUCCUGAGGCUUAGUGUCCAUUGUCACAGAUCAUCAUAAUGAAGCCUGCCUCACUUGUUUAGUUAAUUCCUCAGCCUCUGAUUAUUUGAAUUUGUAAGUCCUGUUUAAAUCCUCAACAAGCAAAAGAUUCAAGUCACACCCACUGAUGAUGAUUGCCAAACAAACAAAAAAAGUCACAGUUGUUGAUAAGGAUAUGGAGAAACUAGAACUUUUGUGCAGUACUGGUAAGGAUAUAAAGUGAUGCAUCUAUUAUAAAAACAGGAUGGCAGUUAAUCAAAAAAUUAAAAAUAGAAUUACUAUAUGGCCCAGCAAUUCCACUUUUGGUUAUAGCCCCAAAAGAACUAAAAGCAAGGACUUGGGCAAAUAUUUGUACAUGUAUAUUCAUAAUAGCCUUCUCUGCAAUAGAAAAAAAAGUAAGAGCAGUGUGAUGUAUGCAUACAAUGGAAUAUUAGUGGACAUGAAAAAGGAAAUUCUGCUACAUGCCAUAACAUAGAUGAAUUUUGAGGACAUUAUGCUAAGUGAAAUAAGCCAGUCACAAAAGAAUAAAUGCUCUAUGAUUCCACUUGUGUAAAGUACUUAGAGUAGUCAACUUCAGAAACAUGCAAUAGAAUCAUAAUUGUAGGGCUGAAGGUAGGGGAAAUAGGGAGAUAUUGUUUAGCAUGUACAGUUUCAGUUUUCAAGAUGAAAAAGUUCUAGAAAUAGAUGGUAGAAAUGGUUGCACAACAAUGUGGAUGUACUUACUGCCACUGAAUUGUAUGCUUAAAAAUGGUUAAGAUGGUAAUUUUUAUGUUAUGUGUAUUUUACCACAAUUUUAAUGAGAAAGUUCUCAGGAUUUAUAUCACUUUCUUGAAAAAGUAAUGAAUUUACAUCUGAACUAUGCCACUUACCUGUGCUUUGAUCUCACACCACAAUUCUACUUUUUAAAAAAUCUAUUGGCUAUGAAUGCAAGAGUGUUUGUGUGUGUGUGUGUGUGUGUGUGUGUGUGUGUGUAAGAAUUAUGUAAGUAUCUGUUGUGAAGUAAAUGGCAAACUACAUUCCAAAGGGGGUAAAUAUUAUGGGAAUGCUACACAUAAGUGGAAAAUCUGCAAGGAGUUGUGAUCACUUGUAAUAGAGAUAACAGGAAAUUUUUAUGGAGGAUCCAGCAUUUGAGUUGAACUUCAGAGAAUUGGCAGAAUUUAGAAUGGUGCAGAUACUGGAGGCAUCUGAAGCAGAGGGAGAGGCCUAUGUAUAUGUGCACCCAUAUUUAUAGCGGCACAGUUUGUAAUAGCUAAAACUUGAAAACAGUUCAAUCGCCCAUCAACUGGAGACUGGAUAAAGAAGAUUUUUUUUUUAUAAAAUGAAUACUACUCAGCC